GAUGAAGAACGUAGCGAAAUGCGAUAAGUAAUGUGAAUUGCAGAAUUCAGUGAAUCAUCGAAUCUUUGAACGCACAUUGCGCCCCUUGGUAUUCCGAGGGGCAUGCCUGUUCGAGCGCCAUUUUGACCACUCCCGCUUGCGGGGUCUUGGGCCUUCGCCUCUGGGCGGGCCUUAAAAUCAGUGGCGGUGCCGUCCGGCUCUAAGCGUAGUAAAUCUCCUCGCUAUAGGGUUCCGGAGGGAUGCUGGCCAACAACCCCCAACUUUUAAGGUUGACCUCGGAUCAGGUAGGGAUACCCGCUGAACUUAAGCAUAUCAAUAAGCGGAGGA
rnacentral:misc_RNA from 1 species